rnacentral:rRNA from 1 species
UACGGGGGGGGCAAGCGUUGUUCGGAAUUACUGGGCGUAAAGGGCUCGUAGGCGGCCAACUAAGUCGGACGUGAAAUCCCCAGGCUCAACCCGGGAACUGCGUCCGAUACUGGAUGGCUUGAAUCCGGGAGAGGGAUGCAGAAUUCCAGGUGUAGCGGUGAAAUGCGUAGAUAUCUGGAGGAACACCGGUGGCGAAGGCGACAUCCUGGACCGGCAUUGACGCUGAGGCGCGAAAGCCAGGGGAGCAAACGGG